rnacentral:rRNA from 1 species
GACGAACGCUGGCGGCGUGCUUAACACAUGCAAGUCGAACGAAGCUUGAUCACGGAUUCUUCGGAAGAGGUGUGAUAUGACUUAGUGGCGGACGGGUGAGUAACGCGUGAGUAACCUGCCUUUCAGAGUGGAAUAACGUUUGGAAACGACCGCUAAUACCGCAUAACAUCAUUUUAUCGCAUGGUAGAAUGAUCAAAGAUUUAUCGCUGAAAGAUGGACUCGCGUCUGAUUAGCUAGUUGGUGAGGUAACGGCUCACCAAGGCGACGAUCAGUAGCCGGUCUGAGAGGAUGAACGGCCACAUUGGGACUGAGAUACGGCCCAG